GAGGCUAAAUGAAAGCUAGAACUAUAACAAACUACCCGCGAUCAAACUCAUAUGUAGCAACAUAAUAGACUAAGUUGUCAAGCCCAUAAGUAGGAAAGUGAUACAACUAAGUAAACAUAGAUAAAGCACAUAUUUGAACUUAAAUUUCAAUUUCAUUCAUCAUAGAUCCGAGCUUCACAUGAGACAGAAUAUGAAUAUACCCGGAGAAUGAAAAGAAAAGGAAAAAUGAAGUAUCAACAGUAGUAUCAGGUGUUAGCACCAAGAAGAACCAAGAAAGAAGACUUGAAAUGCUUUAAAAUAAAACAAAUCGACCAAUAAACCCGGCUGAAUCUAACACCAAGCUUUGAUGAAUAAGUCUAAACCACUUUUAUCACCCCAAAAUAAUCAAAUAGUUUCAGGAAUUGAAGAUGAAGCAUGAUUGAUAAAAAAAUCGGUGGAACAGUAGUAGCCCCUUCUUCUCUGUAUUUCUCUCUCUUUAAUUUCGUAAGG
rnacentral:lncRNA from 1 species